GGAAUGUCUUCGCACGAUGGUUCUGGAGUAGAAGAAAUACAGCAAGCGUCCCAUCCUGCGUUACCCUCUUCGGUUUACCCAGGACACUUUCACUUAUCAGUCUUCCCCAAUAUUUUGAACACGUGCAGUAUGCUGGCCACAGUUUUUCUGCAAGGCAGUUAAUGGAAUAGAAAUAUGAGAAGGAAAUCAAAGGCGAAACGAGUCCUUGACUACGAAAGUGAAGAAGAUGAAGACGGGGCUCAAAAAGUAGAUGCUUUUGAGCUGGGCAGUCCUAACUUGUAUCACAUGAGGGACAGCAAUUCCAAUACAGAGGAGUCUGAGUUUCUGCAGUCAUACUCAAAGAUGAAACUAAUUCCUAUGGUGAUUUGCAUGCAAAGAGAGAUGGA
ensembl:lncRNA